UACAGAGGUCUCAAGCGUUGUUCGGAUUCAUUGGGCGUAAAGGGUGCGUAGGUGGCGCGGUAAGUCGGGUGUGAAAUUUCGGAGCUUAACUCCGAAACUGCAUUCGAUACUGCCGUGCUUGAGGACUGGAGAGGAGACUGGAAUUUACGGUGUAGCAGUGAAAUGCGUAGAGAUCGUAAGGAAGACCAGUGGCGAAGGCAGGUCUCUGGGCCAUUACUGACACUGAGAAGCGAAAGCAUGGGGAGCGAACAGG
rnacentral:rRNA from 1 species